UGAAGAAGGCCUUCGGGUCGUAAAACUCUGUUAUAAGAGAAGAACAAAUUGUAGAGUAACUGCUACAGUCUUGACGGUAUCUUAUCAGAAAGCCACGGCUAACUACGUGCCAGCAGCCGCGGUAAUACGUAGGUGGCAAGCGUUGUCCGGAUUUAUUGGGCGUAAAGGGAGCGCAGGUGGUUUCUUAAGUCUGAUGUGAAAGCCCACGGCUUAACCGUGGAGGGUCAUUGGAAACUGGGAAACUUGAGUACAGAAGAGGAAUGUGGAACUCCAUGUGUAGCGGUGGAAUGCGUAGAUAUAUGGAAGAACACCAGUGGCGAAGGCGACAUUCUGGUCUGUUACUGACACUGAGGCUCGAAAGCGUGGGGAGCAAACAGGAUUAGAUACCCUGGUAGUCCACGCCGUAAACGAUGAGUGCUAGGUGUUGGAGGGUUUCCGCCCUUCAGUGCCGCAGUUAACGCAUUAAGCACUCCGCCUGGGGAGUACGACCGCAAGGUUGAAACUCAAAGGAAUUGACGGA
rnacentral:rRNA from 1 species